rnacentral:rRNA from 1 species
CCUACGGGAGGCAGCAGUAAGGAAUAUUGGUCAAUGGUGGCAACACUGAACCAGCCAUGCCGCGUGCAGGAUGAAGGUUCUAUGAAUUGUAAACUGCUUUUAUACGGGAAAAAACUUUCGAACGUGUUCGGAACUGAUGGUACCGUAAGAAUAAGGAUCGGCUAACUUCGUGCCAGCAGCCGCGGUAAGACGAAGGAUCCAAGCGUUAUCCGGAUUUAUUGGGUUUAAAGGGUGCGUAGGUGGACUUGUAAGUCAGUGGUGAAAGCCCGAUGCUUAACAUCGGAACUGCCAUUGAUACUGCAAGUCUUGAAUAUGUUUGAAGUGGGCGGAAUGUGUCGUGUAGCGGUGAAAUGCUUAGAUAUGACACAGAACACCGAUUGCGAAGGCAGCUCACUAAACCAUUAUUGACACUGAGGCACGAAAGCGUGGGGAGCAAACAGGAUUAGAUACCCUGGUAGUCCACGCCCUAAACGUUGAAUACUCGAUAUGUGCGAUACACUAGUACGUGUCCAACGAAGAAAUACGUUAAGUUAAUUACCUACCGUCGGGUAGGUACGCGUCGCGAGAGUAGAAACGUACGAAGUAGUAGUACGACGNGAGAGACGACGACGACGACGACGACGGGAGGGAGGAGG